rnacentral:rRNA from 1 species
AAGUAACCAAGGGCAUACGGUGGAUGCCUUGGCUCUUAGAGUCGACGAAGGACGUGCUAAGCUGCGAUAAGCUGCGGGUAGGUGCAAAGAACCUCUGAUCCGUAGAUUUCCGAAUGGGGCAACCCAAUCCCGUGAAGCGGGAUUACUCAGUAAUGAGAGGCAACCCAGGGAACUGAAACAUCUAAGUACCUGGAGGAAAAGAAAACAAUUUAGUGAUUCCCUAAGUAGUGGCGAGCGAACGGGGAACAGCCCAAACUUCUUUAACUACGGUUAAAGGAGGGUUGUAGGACCACACAUGAAAACAGAUAAAAAGCAGAAGCAUCUGGAAAGUUGCACCAUAGAAGGUGAUAGUCCUGUAAGCGUAACGAUCUGUUGGAUAGUGGUAUCCUGAGUACCGCGAGGUCGGAGACGCCUUGUGGGAAACUGCCGGCACCAUCCGGUAAGGCUAAAUACUCCUAAGAGACCGAUAGCGAACCAGUACCGUGAGGGAAAGGUGAAAAGCACCCCGAACAGGGGAGUGAAAUAGUACCUGAAACCGUAUGUCUACAAUCAGUCGAAGCCGCAAGGCGACGGCGUGCCUUUUGCAUAAUGAGCCUACGAGUUACACCUCACCGGCAAGGUUAAUGACUUCAGGUCAAAAGCCGCAGCGAAAGCGAGUUCUAACAGAGCGCUUAGUCGGUGGGGGUAGACGCGAAACCUAAGUGAUCUACCCAUGAGCAGGUUGAAGCCCCGGUAACACGGGGUGGAGGACCGAACUAAUUAGCGUUGAAAAGCUACUGGAUGACUUGUGGGUAGGGGUGAAAGGCUAAUCAAACUGGGAGAUAGCUCGUACUCCCCGAAAUGUUUUUAGGAACAGCCUCAAGAUAUUUGUCAAAGAGGUAGAGCUACCGAUUGGGCUAGGGGGCUUCACCGCCUACCAAACCCUGACGAACUCCGAAUACUUUGACAUGAACUUGGGAGUGAGGCUUAGGGUGCUAAGGUCCUAAGCCGAGAGGGAAACAACCCAGACCAUCAGCUAAGGUCCCUAAAUGUAUGUUAAGUUGAUCAAACGAUGUUUAAUUGCUAAGACAGCUAGGAUGUUUGCUUGGAAGCAGCCAUUCAUUUAAAGAGUGCGUAACAGCUCACUAGUCGAGUGAUUAAGCGCGGAAAAUAAUCGGGCAUAAAACAUACUACCGAAGCUAUGGACUCCGUAAGGAGUGGUAGGGGAGCAUUCUGAACUGCUGCGAAGGUGAUUCGUGAGAAUUGCUGGAGCGUUCAGAAAAGCAGAUGUAGGCAUAAGUAACGAUAAACAAGGUGAAAAACCUUGUCGCCGAAAGACUAAGGGUUCCUGAUCUACGUUAAUCGGAUCAGGGUUAGUCGGGUCCUAAGGUAUAGCCGAACGGCGAAGCCGAUGGGAAAAUGGUUAAUAUUCCAUUACCUGCGUGUAAUGUGAUGGGGUGACGAAGUAGUGAAAGGUCUGCGUACUGACGGAUUAGUACGUUAAAGCCGGUAGGUAUAAGUUGUACAGGUAAACCCGUACGGCUUGCUGAAUGGCGACAGUACCGUGAGUCUUCGGACAAGCGGAUAAUGACCCUAAUCAGACUUCCAAGAAAAACCUCUAAACUUCAGUUGCAUGCAGCCCGUACCGUAAACCGACACAGGUAGUCGAGAUGAGAAUUCUAAGGCGCUCGAGUGAGCCGUGGUUAAGGAACUCGGCAAAUUAACCCUGUAACUUCGGGAUAAAGGGUGCCCCUGUAAAGGGGCCGCAGUGAAUAGGCCCAGGCGACUGUUUAACAAAAACACAGGGCCCUGCUAAAUCGAAAGAUGACGUAUAGAGCCUGAUACCUGCCCGGUGCUGGAAGGUUAAGGAAGGUGGUUAGCCGCAAGGCGAAGCUACUGACUGAAGCCCCAGUAAACGGCGGCCGUAACUAUAACGGUCCUAAGGUAGCGAAAUUCCUUGUCGGGUAAGUUCCGACCUGCACGAAUGGUCUAACGAUCUGGGCACUGUCUCAACCACGAGCUCGGUGAAAUUGUAGUUCCGGUGAAGAUGCCGGAUACCCGUCACGGGACGGAAAGACCCCAUGAACCUUCACUAUAACUUAACAUUGAAUUUGAGUAAAAGAUGUGUAGAAUAGGUGGGAGGCUUUGAAGCUGCGACGCUAGUCGUGGUGGAGCCAUCGUUGAAAUACCACCCUUCUUUUACUUAGAUUCUAACUCCGCACCCGCGGAGAACAGUGUUAGGCGGGUAGUUUGACUGGGGUGGUCGCCUCCUAAAAUGUAACGGAGGCUUUCAAAGGUACCCUCAGCACGCUUGGUAACCGUGCGUAGAGUGCAUUAGCACAAGGGUGCUUGACUGCAAGACCGACAAGUCGAGCAGGUGCGAAAGCAGGAUAAAGUGAUCCGGUGGUUCCGCAUGGAAGGGCCAUCGCUCAAAGGAUAAAAGGUACUCUGGGGAUAACAGGCUGAUCUCCCCCAAGAGCUCAUAUCGACGGGGAGGUUUGGCACCUCGAUGUCGGCUCGUCACAUCCUGGGGCUGGAGAAGGUCCCAAGGGUUCGGCUGUUCGCCGAUUAAAGUGGCACGUGAGCUGGGUUCAGAACGUCGCAAGACAGUUCGGUCCCUAUCUGUGAUGGGCGUUGAAAAUUUGAGGAGAGCUGACUCUAGUACGAGAGGACCGAGUUGGACGAACCUCUGGUGUACCGGUUGUGGCGCCAGCUGCAGCGCCGGGUAUCUAUGUUCGGCAGAGAUAAGCGCUGAAAGCAUCUAAGCGCGAAGCUCGCUCCAAGAUGAGAUUUUCUGGAACCGUAGAAGACUACUACGUGAUAGGUGGCAGGUGUAAAGGCAGUAAUGUCAAAGCCGAGCCAUACUAAUCGUUCCUUCGCUUUCU